UACGUAGGGUGCAAGCGUUAUCCGGAAUUAUUGGGCGUAAAGAGCUCGUAGGCGGUUUGUCGCGUCUGCUGUGAAAACUGGAGGCUCAACCUCCAGCCUGCAGUGGGUACGGGCAGACUAGAGUGCGGUAGGGGAGAUUGGAAUUCCUGGUGUAGCGGUGGAAUGCGCAGAUAUCAGGAGGAACACCGAUGGCGAAGGCAGAUCUCUGGGCCGGUAACUGACGCUGAGGAGCGAAAGCAUGGGGAGCGAACAGG
rnacentral:rRNA from 1 species